rnacentral:lncRNA from 1 species
AUAUUUAGAAGUAUCUGAAGAUCCAUGUGUUUCGGCUGCUGUCGGAUAAUUGGUUUGUCGUUUUGGAACUAUUCGUGUUCUCAUUUCGUCAUUCUCUGCGUAACAAUGAGAAAGAAUAUUUAAAAAGCAGCAGAUUCAUUACAACAUGCAUUAGCGCAGACGUAUAUUUGUAUGAAUGCAUAUUCUCUAUAAUCAGUGCUGUCAUAUGGAUAUCUCUCCAUGGCCUAAAUUGCGCAUAUGCCAUGUAUGCAGUAAAUACAGUUACAGAUGUGUUAUGGCCGGAUAGUUUAGCAGACCCUGGAAUCCGCACGUUUACAAUACAUUACUGCAUUUAAUUUGUAAGCUGUUACGAGCCGAAUUACCUAAUCCGACCUCGUAACCGAAUAAUGUAGGCCGCGGAUAAGCAUUCGGCGAACUGUAAUAUGUAACAAAAUAAUAAAAUCGCGCAACGCCAAACGUGACAAUUAAAAAUAAGCACACCGACAUAAUUAGAAUAGUAGGAUAAGCAGAAUUCAGACGCAGCAGCCUUGCCGAGUAUCAGGAACGUUGAUCGGCAAGGAUGCUCGCUAACCCAGAAAGCUGGGAUAAAAGGGAAGCGAUCGAAGACAAAAUAGACUCAGUUAAAAUCGAUCUAUCUAGUACUGCGGUCGCGUAAUUGUUAACCGUAAAAGUAAUCUGUCGCGUGAAGUGACUUGGUGAAAUAAAGUGCACAUAUUAUCUAAA